GCCUACGGGGCGCAGCAGUGGGGAAUAUUGCACAGUGGGCGAAAGCCUGAUGCAGCAACGCCGCGUGAGCGAUGAAGGCCUUCGGGUCGUAAAGCUCUGUCCUCAAGGAAGAUAAUGACGGUACUUGAGGAGGAAGCCCCGGCUAACUACGUGCCAGCAGCCGCGGUAAUACGUAGGGGGCUAGCGUUAUCCGGAAUUAAUGGGCGUAAAGGGUGCGUAGGUGGUAUGUCAAGUCAAGGGUGAAAUC
rnacentral:rRNA from 1 species